rnacentral:rRNA from 1 species
UAGGGAAUCUUCGGCAAUGGACGGAAGUCUGACCGAGCAACGCCGCGUGAGUGAAGAAGGUUUUCGGAUCGUAAAGCUCUGUUGUAAGAGAAGAACGAGUGUGAGAGUGGAAAGUUCACACUGUGACGGUAUCUUACCAGAAAGGGACGGCUAACUACGUGCCAGCGGCCGCGGUAAUACGUAGGUCCCGAGCGUUGUCCGGAUUUAUUGGGCGUAAAGCGAGCGCAGGCGGUUAGAUAAGUCUGAAGUUAAAGGCUGUGGCUUAACCAUAGUAGGCUUUGGAAACUGUUUAACUUGAGUGCAAGAGGGGAGAGUGGAAUUCCAUGUGUAGCGGUGAAAUGCGUAGAUAUAUGGAGGAACACCGGUGGCGAAAGCGGCUCUCUGGCUUGUAACUGACGCUGAGGCUCGAAAGCGUGGGGAGCAAACAGGAUUAGAUACCCUGGUAGUCCACGCUGUAAACGAUGAGUGCUAGGUGUUAGACCCUUUCCGGGGUUUAGUGCCGUAGCUAACGCAUUAAGCACUCCGCCUGGGGAGUACGACCGCAAGGUUG